ensembl:lncRNA
UAAACGAUGGCAGACAGUGAAUGGGAGGCUGGCAAGAUUCCGGAAAGGAUGGAGAUGGAAGACAGUUAGCUGGGUGGUGAUCUGAGAGAAAGACAGAAUUAUUCACCCAAAUCUGUCAUCAUAGCAAGUCACUCCCAAGAAUAUGGCAUCAGGUAGUAUGGCGGCUCAGCGAUAAAGAAUCUGCCUUCUACUACAGGAGCCAUGAGCUCAGUCCCUGGGUUGGGAAGUUCCUCUAGAGAAGGAAGUAGUAUUCUUGCCUGGAAAAUUCCAUGGAUAGAGUAACCUGGCAGGCUACAGUCCACGGGGUUGCAAAGAGUUGGACACGACUGAGCAUGAGC